UAUGUAAUAAAUAAAUACAUAUAAUACUUAAGUAUUUCUUUUUUUUACUAUUUAUCAAUUAAAUAUUUUGCAAGGAUUGUCUAAAAAGCACAGAUAAGUUUAAGAUAAUGAAUACACAUUGCAUACAAUCAUUAAUAGGACUAAAAAUAGAAUAGACCGGACAUUAAAUGGGGCUUUGUGUCUCUUUGAAAUACCGACCAGGUAAAAUAUCACUGGUUUUUUAGCGCACUCUGGGCUUAAACAACAGUGAAUUGGAGAAUACGUUAAACAAAAUGGUACAAGUUGGUGAGGAAAAUGAUAUCCGCACAGACGAGCGCACUCUACGUUUUUAAACAAUAGUAAGUUGGGGAACUAGUGAAUGCGCCAGCAACACGAUUUUUUAAACCGAUUACAGUGUUGUUAAACUUUCAAUACCGAAAUGUAAAGCUAGUAACUGACUGAAAUCAUUCUAUUGUAUAUCAGAAAGAGCUCUAUCCAAGUUUUAGGGAUUUAUUACAAUUUCUUCCAAUAUAUAGUAAAUUAAAACUAUAAAAUUGUUAAUACAUGGUUUGAUGUAUAAAUGAUUUAUGUUGUAUUAAACAUUCUUAAAUACAAUUUUUAACUAACUAAA